rnacentral:rRNA from 1 species
GACGAACGCUGGCGGCGUGCUUAACACAUGCAAGUCGAACGAAGUGGCGAACGGGUGCGUAACGAGUAAUUAACCUGCCCUUCAGAGGGGGAAAACAGUUGGAAACGACUGCUCAUACCGCAUACUGAAGGAGGGGAUUGCGUCGGUUUAGCUAGUUGGGGGGGUAACGGCCCACCAAGGCGAUGAUGAGUAGCCGGUCGGGGAGGAUGAACGGCCACAUUGGUACUGAGACACGGCCCAGACUCUUACGGGAGGCAGCAUUGGGGAAUCUUCCGCAAUGGACGAAAGUCUGACGGAGCAACGCCGCGUGAGUGAUGACGGCCUUCGGGUUGUAAAGCUCUGUUAAUCGGGACGCGGUACCGGAAUAGAAAGCCACGGCUAACUACGUGCCAGCAGCCGCGGUAAUUC